ACUAUGCCUAGCCAUAAACAUUGAUAGAAAAAUACACCCCCUAUCCGCCCGGGUACUACGAGCACUAGCUUGAAACCCAAAGGACUUGGCGGUACUUUAGAUCCCCCUAGAGGAGCCUGUUCUAUAACCGAUGACCCCCGUUCAACCUCACCCUCCCUUGUUUUUCCCGCCUAUAUACCGCCGUCGUCAGCUUACCCCAUGAGGGACCAAUAGUAAGCAAAACUGGCACCGCCCAGAACGUCAGGUCGAGGUGUAGCGUAUGAGAGGGGAAGAAAUGGGCUACAUUUGCUAACGUAGCAAAUACGAACGAUGCACUGAAAACGUUCAUCCGAAGGAGGAUUUAGCAGUAAGUGGGAAAUAGAGUGUCCCGCUGAAAUCGGCUCUGAAGUGCGUACACACCGCCCGUCACUCUCCCCAAGCAACUAACACACAUAACUAAAACACUACACACCGCAAAGGGGAGGCAAGUCGUAACAUGGUAAGUGUACUGG
rnacentral:rRNA from 1 species